CCUCUGACCAACCAGGAGCGCAAAGAAAUUGACCUCGCAGCGGUUCUACAAUACUUUUAUAUCAUUGGCCAAGCUUUACCCCGCCCCUGCCUCAUGCAGCCUAUGGCCUAGGCUUUGGGGUCCGCUGUUGGUCAGACCGGAGCACUUGGCCCGAAGAGCUGGAAUUGGCGACUUCGGUUUUAGCAAGGAUGGCGGCGGCCGCAGCGAGUCGAGGAAUCGGGGCAAAGCUGGGCCUGCGUGAGAUUCGCAUCCACUUAUGUCAGCGCUCGCCUGGCAGCCAGGGCGUCAGGUGAGGCGCGGCGUGGUGAGGCGGGCGGGCUUCGGGACGCCGGGGUCAUGUCCUUGACCUCCCUGAAGUUGAGGGAAGCCCGCGCCCACAACACGCGCGGCGCUCUCUCCGGCCCCGCAGGGACUUCAUUGAGAAACGCUAUGUGGAGCUGAAGAAGGCGAAUCCCGACCUACCCAUCCUAAUCCGCGAAUGCUCCGAUGUGCAGCCCAAGCUCUGGGCCCGCUACGCAUUUGGCCAAGAGAAGAAUGUCCCUUUGAACAACUUCAGUGCUGAUCAGGUAACCAGAGCCCUGGAGAACGUGCUAAAGCCUGAAGCCUCCACUGAGGAUUAAGAGCAACAGCCCCAGAGCCUGGGCUCUGCUGGACUUAGUAUAAUGUGAAAAAAAUGUGUUCUCCUAUUCCUCAUAAAGCUUGUGCUGUAAAAUA
rnacentral:sRNA from 1 species